rnacentral:rRNA from 1 species
AACUAACGCUGGCGGCGUGCCUAACACAUGCAAGUCGUACGAGAAAGUUGGCUUCGGCCGAUGAGUAAAGUGGCGCACGGGUGAGUAACGCGUGGAUAAUCUGCCUUUUAGUUGGGAAUAACGUACCGAAAGGUGCGCUAAUACCGGAUGAUACUGAGCAACUACUGUUGCUUAGUCAAAGAAGGCCUCUGUUUACAAGCUUUCACCGGAGGAUGAGCCCGCGUACCAUUAGCUAGUUGGCAGGGUAAUGGCCUACCAAGGCAACGAUGGUUAGCUGGUCUGAGAGGAUGACCAGCCACACUGGAACUGAGACACGGUCCAGACUCCUACGGGUGGCAG